UACAUCUCAAGGGUGCCAACUAAUGAUAUCAAUUUGAGCUCGAUUAGUGCGGGGGCAGAUUUCACCUGCUUAUUCCGCUAUGCCCUUUCUGGAAUUUAAAAGUGUUUAUUGAUCUAAUUAAUUAAGGCAAGAUUAAUCAGUGAUUUAACCAAUAAAGGAAAUAAAAGUCAAUUAUCUGUUCAAGUAAGGCAAGAUGUGAUGGAGAUCUAGUCAGUAAAAGCAAGAUAUGAUCGAGAUCCACCCAGUGAAGGCAAGAUGUGACUGAGAUCUAGCCAGUGAAAACAAAAUAUGAUCGAGAUCUAGCCAGUGAAGGCAAGAUAUGACCGAGAUCUAGCUAGUGAAGGCAAGAUGUGAUCGAAAUCUAUCCAAUGAAGGCAAGAUUUCAUAAUUUCUUUUUAUAAUCCAUGAGUAUAAAUUCUAUAAUAAUUGAUAUUAUUUUUUAUAUUUAUGGCAAUAGUGAAGAAAAAUUUCAUCUUCUAUUGCAAAAAAAUGUUCCAUACACAGAAUUACAUCACGCGUAUUUCAUUACUGCAAUGUUAUUGCAGAUUUUGCAGACUGUGCCGCAAUUCUUUAAACAGUAAUUAACAAGUGUUUUACAUCUAACUGGUUUUUUUCGAUAUAUCCACUUUUUCACCAGACGUAUUUAAUCAUGUUUUUGAAUUGGGAAAGUUUUUCCACGAUCUGAAUACGUAGACAUCCAAUGGUUGAGAACAACGGAGCCAGUUGUUCUGACAGGAAUUGUAAAGAUUUUUAUUUCCUUACCACCCUUGUCUGUAUUUUCAAAAUUUUUUUCUGUUUGUCCUGACCAAGAGUUCAAAUACAAAACAGAUUUCUCGCCAGCAUUAGGCAAGAAGACACCUUUAAACCAUUUAAUAGUAAGGAUCUCAACUUUUCAGGUUUUGUGGCGAAAGCGAGAAUAUCCGCUUUGUACAUAAACUUCUGUGCUAUUGGUCCGAAAUAGCCACUUGUUUCUUAUAAAAUUAUUAAAAAAACAGAUAUACUCCGAAUAAUAUAGUUAUUAAGUUUAUGCUCCGUUUAUAUAUGUGUAUUAGACCUUAUACGCAUCGCAUUAUUUAUAAAAAUAAUGGAUAAUCAAUAAAAUAAACAUGUGAAUAUUACAGAUAAAGAAUAAAACCAAUAUAACUUUGUUUUGUUGUUUUAAUUAAAUCUGAGUCUCGAUCUUUAAUUAGAUAUAGACUUUAAAAUUGUCUUAAAGACCUUCAUAUACAUUAUAAAAAGAAAUAAGAUAUCUGGUACUACAAAAUGAGUGAAAUUCCAACAAAAUUACCUUUUUUAAAAAAGGUAUAAAAAAGCACCAAGUAUACGCGCAUAUGAAACGCCCUGAAAAAUCUAUUUUUGAACAAAAUAAUUUUUAUUUGGCAUUACAAAUGUGCAUUACAAAGGAAAUUUUAAUAAAAUUGUCUUUUCCUUAAAAAAAAACAAAAAA